rnacentral:rRNA from 16 species
CGAAUACCUGUGAGUACUAUCCGGGAGACACACGGCGGGUGCUAACGUCCGUCGUGAAGAGGGAAACAACCCAGACCGCCAGCUAAGGUCCCUAAAAUUGGCUAAGUGGGAAACGAAGUGGGAAGGCUAAAACAGUCAGGAUGUUGGCUUAGAAGCAGCCAUCAUUUAAAGAAAGCGUAAUAGCUCACUGAUCGAGUCGUCCUGCGCGGAAGAUGUAACGGGGCUAAGCCAGUUACCGAAGCUGCGGAUGCAUCGCAAGAUGCGUGGUAGGAGAGCGUUCUGUAAGCCUGUGAAGGUGGGUUGUGAAGCCUGCUGGAGGUAUCAGAAGUGCGA